CCCACCCCCACCACUCAUCUCUGUAGCCCGAGGUUUGGUACCUGGGAGAGGCUGGGACUGCUGUGAAGAAGAAAUGCAAGGCUGAACAUGGAGAACGAGGGGGUCUGUGGACCCGCCAGGCCCUGCUGGGAGAUUCUGUCUCGCCACCUUCCCCGACCUGCAGCCCUGCCCAACCACUCCUCUGGGCUGCCUUCCUCGCCGUGGCCCCUGAGGGAUCAUCCUGGCAUCAUGCUCUUCGGUGCCCACCUGACCCUCACCCCCAGGGAACAAGUCCCCAGCUAAGAGUCAUCUGUGGAUAGAAGAGCUAACACAGGUCAUGUUCUUAGAACGGCACCUGGCCCGUAGUGAUCACUCAACACAUCUUUGCUGUUCUGAAGGUAGCUGACUGACACUGCUUCAGUGGAACCCCCGCCCCCCGACUCCUCCUCCACCAGGGCUGAAGCAGGCAUGUCCUCCCUGGAGCUUCCGGAACCCCC